ACGAGUGGCGGACGGGUAAGGUAAUGUCUGGGAAACUGCCUGAUGGAGGGGGAGUAACUACUGGAAACGGUAGCUAAUACCGCAUAACGUCGCAAGACCAAAGAGGGGGACCUUCGGGCCUCUUGCCAUCGGAUGUGCCCAGAUGGGAUUAGCUAGUAGGUGGGGUAACGGCUCACCUAGGCGACGAUCCCUAGCUGGUCUGAGAGGAUGACCAGCCACACUGGAACUGAGACACGGUCCAGACUCCUACGGGAGGCAGCAUG
rnacentral:rRNA from 1 species